AUUGAACGCUGGCGGCGUGCUUAACACAUGCAAGUCGAUCGGUAACAGGUGUAGCAAUAUAUGCUGACGAGAGGCGGACGGGUGAGUAAUGCUUGGGAAUCUGCCUAUUAGUGGGGGACAACCCGGGGAAACUCGGGCUAAUACCGCAUACGCUCUACGGAGGAAAGCCGGGGACCGCAAGGCCUGGCGCUAAUAGAUGAGCCCAAGUCGGAUUAGCUAGUUGGUAGGGAACGGCCUACCAAGGCGACAAUCCGUAGCUGGUCUGAGAGGACGACCAGCCACACCGGAACUGAGACACGGUCCGGACUCCUACGGGAGGCAGCAGUGGGGAAUAUUGGACAAUGGGCGAAAGCCUGAUCCAGCGACGCCGCGUGGGUGAAGAAGGCCUGCGGGUUGUAAAG
rnacentral:rRNA from 1 species